rnacentral:other from 1 species
AAGACCCUGCGUUGUACGUUGUGGCACCAAGUAAUUAAGAACCUAAAAAUUAGAAAGGGAGCUGUCCCUGUUCACGGUGUGCAUACUCUGAUUUAUCAGAGGAGCCUAAAGUGAUUAUAUGGCGCCCACCUGUCUAUCAGGUUCUAAUUAAGGUGUACCCAACGGCAUUUGCGGGGCUUUU